UACGGAGGGGGCUAGCGUUAUUCGGAAUUACUGGGCGUAAAGCGCACGUAGGCGGCUUUGUAAGUUAGAGGUGAAAGCCCGGGGCUCAACUCCGGAACUGCCUUUAAGACUGCAUCGCUUGAAUCCAGGAGAGGUGAGUGGAAUUCCGAGUGUAGAGGUGAAAUUCGUAGAUAUUCGGAAGAACACCAGUGGCGAAGGCGGCUCACUGGACUGGUAUUGACGCUGAGGUGCGAAAGCGUGGGGAGCAAACAGG
rnacentral:rRNA from 1 species